GUAUUAUUUUAAUGAUAACUUAAUGAUUCUGAUGAGGACACCAAAAGGUACUUUAUGGUGAUAUGAAACUCUCUUUGUAUAACAUUUGAAGACUGCAUGCAUGGUAGAGCAUCACUAAGACUGCUAAGGCUGAAAUUUAAAAGCAUCAGAUUUGGAAAAUGUUUUUCAUGUCAAUAACUUAUUGACUGUUGAAACGCACUAUUUCUAUAACAAAACGUGUAUAUAACGAACGGUGAGGAUUAAGAACG